GGUUGCCCAUGAACGAAUGGCUAUUCAAACGUUGCUCAUUACUGAUGAUCUCUUUAGGAAUAAUGAUAUAACGGAGCGACAAAAGUAUGUCACUUUGGUUGAUUCAGUUAGGGAUUCUGGUGGCACCGUCCAUAUAUUUUCAUCCAUGCAUGUCUCAGGAGAACAACUUGCCCAGAUAACUGGAAUUGCAGCAAUCCUACGAUUUCCUCUGCCGGAUCUUGAAGACAUUGAAAUGU
rnacentral:misc_RNA from 1 species